rnacentral:rRNA from 1 species
AAGCGAGACAGUGAUGUGGAGCGGACCCCUUAAAGAAUGUCGUAGUCCGGAUUGGAGUCUGCAACUCGACUCCAUGAAGUCGGAAUCGCUAGUAAUCGCAGGUCAGGAUACUGCGGUGAAUACGUUCCCGGGCCUUGUACACACCGCCCGUCACACCAUGGGAGUGGGAUGCAAAAGAAGUAGUUAGUCUAACCUUCGGGAGGACGAUUACCACUUUGUGUUUCAUGACUGGGGUGAAGUCGUAACAAGGUAACCCUAGGGGAACCUGGGGUUGGAUCACCUCCUU